rnacentral:ncRNA from 1 species
AAAGGUUUGGUCCUAGCCUUGAAAUCAGUUACUAAUUGUAUUACACAUGCAAGUCUCCGCACCCCUGUGAAAACGCCCUCAAAUCUCUAGUAGAGAUUAGGAGCUGGUAUCAGGCACACAAGCCCAAGACACCUAGCCUCGCCACACCCACAAGGGACCUCAGCAGUGAUUAACAUUGACUAUAAGCGACAGCUUGAUUCAGAUAAAUUUUAUAGAGCCGGCCAAUUUAGGUGCCAGCCGCCGCGGUUACACCAGAAGCUCAAACUGAUUUCUAUCGGCGUAAAGCGUGAUUAAAGCAAUUAACCCAUUGGAAUUAAAUUAAAACUGAGCCGUGAUACGCCUGUUACUUAAGAAACCCACAAACGAAAGUUAUUCCAAUUAAACCCACUUGAACUCACGACAUCUGAGACACAAACUGGGAUUAGAUACCCCACUAUGCUCAGCCGUAAACUUUAAAUUACAUCAUACUCGCCCGGGAACUACGAGCUAAGCUUAAAACCCAAAGGACUUGACGGUACCCCAUAUCCAUCUAGAGGAGCCUGUCCUAUAAUCGAUAACCCACGUUUAACCUCACCAUUUUUAGCUUAUUCAGUCUGUAUACCUCCGUCGUCAGCUUACCACGUGAGCGCUAGUGAGCUCAAUGUUUAUUCAACAAUACGUCAGGUCAAGGUGCAACUUACAAAAUGGGAAGAGAUGGGCUACACUUUCUAAUAUAGACCACACGGAAAACUAUUUAUGAAACCUAGUCAGAAGGCGGAUUUAGCAGUAAAUAGGAACCAAAAAGUCCUUUUUAAUUCGGCACUGGGGUGCGUACACACCGCCCGUCACCCUCUUCGUCUGCUCAAUAUAUAGUAUUUAACAAAAUUCAGCUUUUUAGAAGAGGCAAGUCGUAACAUGGUAAGUAUACCGGAAGGUAUGCUUGGAAUCAA